rnacentral:rRNA from 1 species
UGAGGAAUCUUGCGCAAUGGGGGAAACCCUGACGCAGCAACGCCGCGUGAGUGAGGAAGGUUUUCGGAUCGUAAAGCUCUGUCAGGUGGGAAGAAAUGUAUAGAAGUAAAUAGCCUCUAUACUUGACGGUACCACCAGAGGAAGCACCGGCUAACUCCGUGCCAGCAGCCGCGGUAAUACGGGGGGUGCAAGCGUUGUUCGGAAUUAUUGGGCGUAAAGAGCGUGUAGGCGGCUUGAUAAGUCAGAUGUGAAAGCCCUGGGCUUAACCCGGGAAGUGCAUUUGAAACUGUCUUGCUUGAGUAAGGGAGAGGGAAGUGGAAUUCCUGGUGUAGAGGUGAAAUUCGUAGAUAUCAGGAGGAACACCGGUGGCGAAGGCGACUUUCUGGCCCUAUACUGACGCUGAGACGCGAGAGCGUGGGGAGCAAACAGG